rnacentral:rRNA from 1 species
UGGGGAAUAUUGCACAAUGGGCGAAAGCCUGAUGCAGCAACGCCGCGUGAGGGACGACGGCCUUCGGGUUGUAAACCUCUUUAGCAAGGAAGAAGCGAAAGUGACGGUACUUGCAGAAAAAGCGCCGGCUAACUACGUGCCAGCAGCCGCGGUAAUACGUAGGGCGCAAGCGUUAUCCGGAAUUAUUGGGCGUAAAGAGCUCGUAGGCGGUUUGUCGCGUCUGCUGUGAAAACCCGAGGCUCAACCUCGGGCCUGCAGUGGGUACGGGCAGACUAGAGUGCGGUAGGGGAGAUUGGAACUCCUGGUGUAGCGGUGGAAUGCGCAGAUAUCAGGAAGAACACCGAUGGCGAAGGCAGAUCUCUGGGCCGUAACUGACGCUGAGGAGCGAAAGGGUGGGGAGCAAAACAGGCUUAGAUACCCUGGUAGUCCACCCGUAAACGUUGGGAACUAGUUGUGGGGUCCAUUCCACGGAUUCCGUGACGCAGCUAACGCAUUAAGUUCCCCGCCUGGGGAGUACGGCCGCAAGGCUAAAACUCAAAGGAAUUGA